UACGAAGGGGGCUAGCGUUGCUCGGAAUGACUGGGCGUAAAGGGCGCGUAGGCGGUUGGCUUUGUCGGGCGUGAAAUUCCAGGGCUUAACCUUGGGGCUGCGUUCGAGACGGGUUGUCUUGAGUGGGGAAGAGGGUCGUGGAAUUCCCAGUGUAGAGGUGAAAUGCGUAGAGAUGUGGAGGAACACCAGUGGCGAAGGCGGCUUUCUGGUCUGUAACUGACGCUGAGGCGCGAAAGCGUGGGGAGCAAACAGG
rnacentral:rRNA from 1 species